CAUUAGAUGACUGAAAAGCAAGUAAUGGUCUCUUAAACCAAAAUAUAGUAAGUUAGUAGAUACUUCUAAUGA
rnacentral:tRNA from 1 species